UACGGGGGGAGCAAGCGUUGUUCGGAUUUACUGGGCGUAAAGGGCGCGUAGGCGGUCGUGACAAGUCACUUGUGAAAUCUCCCGGCUUAACUGGGAGGGUGCGGCGGAGACUGGAGUGCUAGAGUGUGGGAGAGGUAAGCGGAAUUCCUGGUGUAGCGGUGAAAUGCGUAGAUAUCAGGAGGAACACCUGUGGUGUAGACAGCUUACUGGACCACGACUGACGCUGAGACACGAAAGCGUGGGUAGCAAACAGG
rnacentral:rRNA from 1 species